GUAUUUAGCAAAAUAGUCACUAUUUUCUGGUCCUGGUUCAGUCUUGUGUAGCAGUUAGGCCCUAGUAGGACAGUUAGAUGAAGAUUAAAUUUUUUAGUUACUGUAUUAGUUAGGGUUGCCAGAGAAACUGAAUCAAGAGGGUGUAUAUGUAGAGAUGAGAAAGAGGGAGAGAAAGAAAUUUAUAUUAUGGAAUUGGCUUAUGUGAUUAUGGGAGCUGGUAAGUCUGAAAUCCAUAGGGCAGGCCAGCAGCUGGAAACUCAGGUAAAAGUUGAUGAUGUGGUCUUGAGUUUGAAAUCUGUAGGGUGGGCUGCAACCUGGAAAUCCAGGCAGAAUUUCGAUGUCGCAGUCUUGAGGAGAAUUCCUCCUCUAGGAAACCUCUGUUUUUGCUUGUAAGGCUUUGAACAGAUUGGAUGGGGCCCAGCCACUCAUUAUUGAGGGUAACCUCCCUUAAAGUUAACGGAUUGUAGAUAUUAAUCACACCUACAAAAUACCUUCACCACACCAUCUGGGCUAGUGUUUGACCAAACAACUGGGCACCAUAGUCUAGCCAAGUUGUCAUAAAAUUAUCACAGUUACUUUAAAUGAUCAUAUUCACAUAUUUUCAGAAAAAUGGGACUAAUGAUGGAGACUAUGUUUUUCUAACUGGAGAAGACAGUUACCUUAACUUUACAAAAAUUGUGGAAUGGAAUGGGAAAACGUCACUUGACUGGUGGAUAACAGACAAGUGCAAUAUGAUUAAUGGAACAGAUGGAGAUUCUUUUCACCCACUAAUAACCAAAGAUGAGGUCCUUUAUGUCUUCCCAUCUGACUUUUGCAGGUCAGUGUAUAUUACUUUCAGUGACUAUGAGAGUGUACAGGGACUGCCUGCCUUUCGGUAUAAAGUUCCUGCAGAAAUAUUAGCCAAUACGUCAGACAAUGCCGGCUUUUGUAUACCUGAGGGAAACUGCCUGGGCUCAGGAGUUCUGAAUGUCAGCAUCUGCAAGAAUGGUAAGAACUCAGAGAGGGGACAUGAUAGGGGUGUCAAGAAUGCAGAAGGAUUGGAGUUCAACAAAGAAUAUGUAGCUGGGCAUAGUGGCGCACACCUACAGUCCCAGCUACUAAGGAUGCUGAGGUGGGAUGAUCACUUGAGCCCAGGAGUUCUCAAGUCCAUCCUGGGCAACAUGGCGAGACCACUGUCUCUAAAAAACAAAACAAACAAAAAAGAAUAUAUUGUCAGCCCAAUAGAAAGAUCAGUUUCUUUCAAGAACAAUGUUUCAUAACAUGGCUAUUGAAUGGUAAAAAAAAAUCAUGGCUUUUCUGUGAUGCUUUUUAUUUCUAGAAUGCCAUGUUGUGUUUUUUUUUCUGGACAGUGGUUUAGAAGUCUUAACAGUAAUAAUAGCUCAUGUUUACUAAGCACCUGAUGUAUGCCAGUCACUGUCCUAAGUGCUUUACAUAUUUACAUGUAGUUAAUGCAUGCAAAACAUUAACUGAUUUCAUGUUCAAAACAAUGCUAAGGCUGGGCACGGUGGCUCAUGCUUGUAUUCCCAGCACUUUGAGAGGCCGAGAUGUGAGGAUUGCUUGAGGCCAGGGGUUCAAGAUC
rnacentral:sRNA from 1 species